CCAAAGAACAUGCCAUUGCAGCUAACUUUCUGCUCAUGGACAUGAGGAGUAUGCUAGGAGGGAAGAGAGACACCAGAUGCUUCAGGAAAUAGACAACAGGACACUGUUACCUAGGAUGUAGGUAAACAUUCCAGCUUGCCCCUGUGCUCCUGGACCAAACUCCUUCAGGACACCCAUGAUUACGUGUGCCCACCAGAUGCUAAGGGAUUACAAAGAACGAAAGGAGGUUACAACUUAGCUAGACAGAAGAAAGGAAGAGUAUACAACACAGCGCAGUCUAGGCUGAUGACUCCCAGAAUGUCCUGACUGCAAGGAACAUGUACUAUGGACCCAUCAGAAGUGAGCUCAUUUUCUAAACAUCUGUGUUGCCAACAGGCACACACCUAAAGUUUCCUCCUAUGGCCACCUGUGGAUCACCCUGACCUUCAAAGCUGGUAGCCAAAGUUCUGCUUCCACCCCCACCAUCUGCAAGGUGGCACUUUUCAGUCUUGAUGGAUAAAUGUUAAAAAUCACAACCAACAAUUCUUAAUCAUCCCUAUGAUUUUCAAAGGAAAACGCUACUGUAUUGUCAAACUUUUUCUCUACAGGCUAAAAUAAAAA
rnacentral:lncRNA from 1 species